rnacentral:pre_miRNA from 1 species
UUAAAUCAAAUUUGUAUGAAGUCGGAACGUUUGUCUACGUUUGCCGCUAGGCACUGUUCGACCUGCUUACAAAUUUGAGUUA